AAUAGAUACCCGGGUAGUCCACGCCGUAAACGAUGUCGACUUGGAGGUUGUGCCCUUGAGGCGGUGGCUUCCGGAGCUAACGCGUUAAGUCGACCGCCUGGGGAGUACGGCCGCAAGGUUAAAACUCAAAUGAAUUGACGGGGGCCCGCACAAGCGGUGGAGCAUGUGGUUUAAUUCGAUGCAACGCGAAGAACCUUACCUACUCUUGACAUCCAGAGAACUUAGCAGAGAUGCUUUGGUGCCUUCGGGAACUCUGAGACAGGUGCUGCAUGGCUGUCGUCAGCUCGUGUUGUGAAAUGUUGGGUUAAGUCCCGCAACGAGCGCAACCCUUAUCCUUUGUUGCCAGCGGUUAGGCCGGGAACUCAAAGGAGACUGCCAGUGAUAAACUGGAGGAAGGUGGGGAUGACGUCAAGUCAUCAUGGCCCUUACGAGUAGGGCUACACACGUGCUACAAUGGCAUAUACAAAGAGAAGCGACCUCGCGAGAGCAAGCGGACCUCAUAAAGUAUGUCGUAGUCCGGA
rnacentral:rRNA from 1 species